rnacentral:tRNA from 1 species
AGUCUUAUAUUCAAUUAUGAUUUAAAAUUGCAAGUUUUAAGGUGAAUUUUUCUAAGGCUU